CAUGUGAACCACUAUCAACCAUCCAGUGGAGACUUCAGUUCUGCUUCUGUUUAUUCCAAACUACCAGUCGUCUUGAACUUAAAACACAGUGAAAGACUUUGUUUGCUUAUUGUGUUUACUGAUAAACAUUCAUCAGGACUCAGCAAACGUCUGGGCCAAGAUGGCGGCUAAUGAUGCCUAGCUUGCCAAGGGACUCAGACAAGGCUGCCAUUUCAGCCAGGGUAACGGUCCAGUCAGAGUAGCACACGCAUCCAAGACAGCUGGUCGCACAAACCCAGCUGUCCAGAGGAUCUGAUAGUCCAGACAUCCCGCUGGACAAUCAGCAAUGACAGUCAAGUCUGGUCCUGGAGACACAUGUUUGGGCGGGCUGAGACCACCCCUGCUUACAGCUAUCUCCGGCCCAGGUCUCCAGUGAGCUCAAUGGUGAGGGCAGGAUAUGAAUAUUAACAACAAGCCCUGAGGAGGCUUUCCAUGCGUGUGCAAGUAGGAGAAUGCAAGUUGUGCAAGACGGUGCCCAAUACACAGCACGUAUUAGCUGAUGGUUGGUACUGUAAGUGAUUAAUAAAGCAAAAAUGU